rnacentral:lncRNA from 1 species
AUGGGCACCGGUCAGUGCUUCGGGCUUUCAUCAAGAAGACUCAGCUCCCUGGCUGGAUCACAAGGCUUCAGAGGAAAUGAGCUGUGCUGCGUCUUUGUCCCCCCACCUGGAGUCCACACCAGCAUGCAAACACUGACUCCAGUGGACAGUGGCUCUUGGCUGCUGGCUGUUCUGUGUGGACAGGGAAAUCUCAUCGCUGUAUUUCUGAAAGAUCUAAUGCCAUCCCUGAUACAGUUCCAGAGGUCAGAGAUGGGAGAACAGACUUUGUCCACAUGCAACGCAGAAACUAGCACCAGCGAUGGUGUCAGGAGCCCGGCAGGAAGCCAGGCCUGGCCACACCUCAAAGUCUGACCAGCUGAGUGUGGAUGGAUCCUGUCUGGUUCGU